AUUUCAUCAAGAGUGGUGGAGGGACAGGCCCGAUGAAACCCGGCAACCUGCGCAAGGACGCAUGGUGCCAAAUCCUGCAGAAUCGCUGAUUCUGAGAGAUGAAAC
rnacentral:ncRNA from 2 species